GACGAACGCUGGCGGCGUGCUUAACACAUGCAAGUCGAACGAAAAGAGGGAAAGAGCUUGCUCUUUCCGGAAUUGAGUGGCAAACGGGUGAGUAACACGUAAACAACCUGCCUUCAGGAUGGGUACAACAGACGGAAACGACUGCUAAUACCGAAUAAGUUCCAAGGGCCGCAUGGCCCAUGGAAGAAAAGGUGGCCUCUACCUGUAAGCUAUCGCCUGAAGAGGGGUUUGCGUCUGAUUAGCUGGUUGGAGGGGUAACGGCCCACCAAGGCGACGAUCAGUAGCCGGUCUGAGAGGAUGAACGGCCACACUGGAACUGAGACACGGUCCAGACUCCUACGGGAGGCAGCAGGGGGGAAUCUUCCGCAAUGGGAGAAAGCCUGACGGAGCAACGCCGCGGGAGUGAUGACGGCCUUCGGGUUGUAAAACUCUGUGAUCCGGGACGAAAAGGCAGAGUGCGAAGAACAAACUGCAUUGACGGUACCGGAAAAGCAAGCCACGGCUAACUACGUG
rnacentral:rRNA from 1 species